rnacentral:rRNA from 1 species
CAAUAGCGUAUAUUUAAGUUGCAGCAGUUAAAAAGCUCGUAGUUGGAUUUCGGGUGGGAAUGGCCGGUCCGCCGUUUCGGUGUGCACUUGCUACGCCCACCUUGCUGCCGGGGACGUGCUCUUGAGUUCACGCUCGGGACACGGAGUCGGCGAGGUUACUUUGAGUAAAUUAGAGUGUUCAAAGCAGGCCUACGCUCUGAAUACAUUAGCAUGGAAUAACACGAUAGGACUCUGGCCUAUCUUGUUGGUCUGUAGGACCGGAGUAAUGAUUAAGAGGGACAGUCGGGGGCAUUCGUAUUUCAUUGUCAGAGGUGAAAUUCUUGGAUUUAUGAAAGACGAACUACUGCGAAAGCAUUUGCCAAGGAUGUUUUCAUUAA